ensembl:lncRNA
UAGACAGCGACAGGAUACUGGUGAGCCAUCGGUCUUGUUUAAAUAAUGUAAUAUGGCCGGUGUUAAACAAUGCUUAUUUUCCCUUUACUCUGAAAUGAUAACAAUCGUGCUUUAUCUCCAGGUCCUUGACGCAGGGAGAAUUCACGCCUAUGAUCAGCCUUACAACCUGCUGCAAGACACCGAGGGGAUUUUCUUCAAAAUGGUGCAGCAGACGGGCAAGCAGGAGGCUGCAGCUCUACUAGCCGCCGCUAAACGGGUGCACAACAGCAGAACCCAUAGCGACGAAUAUACAGAGUCGCCAAACAUCAUUAUCUUUGAGACUGCUCUAAGGACGCGUGCAGGGAGCCGAAUGAGACGAGGAAGCCGCUGCUCGUCCCAGGAAAAAAACCCAAAAGGAUCCCAGGUACAGAACAGGUGGCUGGUGCUGUUGGGUUGCAAGUAUUCUCUACAUGUAAGCUCUACGUGUGGGUGA